GGUAGUUUAGCAAAGUGGUUAAUGCGGUGCCCUGCUAAGGCAUUCCCUUCGGGGGCGCAGGUUCGAACCCUGCAACUAUCG
rfam:Dictyostelium purpureum unplaced genomic scaffold DICPTscaffold_736, whole genome shotgun sequence.